UACGUAGGGUGCAAGCGUUGUCCGGAAUUAUUGGGCGUAAAGAGCUCGUAGGCGGUCUGUUACGUCGGCUGUGAAAACCUGGGGCUCAACUCCGGGCCUGCAGCCGAUACGGGCAGACUAGAGUUCGGCAGGGGAGACUGGAAUUCCUGGUGUGGCGGUGAAAUGCGCAGAUAUCAGGAGGAACACCGGUGGCGAAGGCGGGUCUCUGGGCCGAAACUGACGCUGAGGAGCGAAAGCAUGGGGAGCGAACAGG
rnacentral:rRNA from 1 species